GUUCUUAAAUCCACCCUAUUUAGUAUCUCUAUGGUUUGAGGAGCAAUUGAUUGGUCCUUAUCAUUGCUACUCAGAUUGAUUUCAGGUCUAAGAAUCUCCCUUUGAAAAGGUAUAGGGGUAGGGAAAGUAACAUUUUCCUUCUUAUUCUCCCCUUGAAUAGGUGAUUGGAAAUAAGGUUCAAAUUCCCUAAAGGUGAUAUCCAUGCUCACAAAGUAUUUCUUUGAAAGAGGAGGAUAUCACUUAUACCCUUUUUGAGUUCCAGAAUAACCCACAAACACAUUUUAGGGUUUAGGUUCUAAUUUUUCAACAUGUGACCUAUGAACAAAGCGAAAACACCCAAAAACCUUU
rnacentral:misc_RNA from 1 species